rnacentral:rRNA from 1 species
GAGCACGUAGGUGGGUUUGUAAGUCAGAUGUGAAAGCCUUCUGUUCAACGGAAGAAUUGCAUCUGAAACUGCGAGUCUUGAGAGUAGGAGGGGAGAAUGGAACUUCUGGUGGAGCGGUGAAAUGCGUAGAUAUCAGAAGGAACUCCGGCGGCGAAAGCGAUUCUCUGGCCUAUUACUGACACUCAGUGUGCGAAAGCUAGGGGAGCAAACGGGAUUAGAUACCCCGGUAGUCCUAGCCGUAAACGAUGGGCACUAAGUAGAGGGGUUUU